AUGAGCUGUAGAUGAAAUUACUUUUUGAACUUUAAACCUAUAUUCCCAGAACCCCAAACCACCAAACCACAAAAUCUGAAACUGGGAGAAAGAAGGAAACGAAGAAGAACAAGGAGGAAGAAGAAUCAGGUGAUUUGACGAAAGAGGAAACGAAGUAAGAUUUUCGGUUCUGCCAAUCCUCUUCAGUUAUCGCUUCCCCUUCGUCUCUGAGAUUCACCGUCUGCAACUGAAGUAGCGCCCUCCCGUUCUUGCUUGAGCUCUGGUGAACCUCUAGCUCAAACGGUAGAGCACGUGGGGUUACACCUAUGAUAUGGUGGUUCAAAUCCACCAAGGCUUUGUCAUAUCGUAUUGCCCUUUGAAUGAUUAUUUGGUUUUCCACUUGGAUGUCCCUUUUUUCCUUUUCCUUUUUGUUUUUUUGGCCAUCUCUAAAGUAAGCACCUUCUGAGUAUGUUGAAGUUGAAUACAUCAUUGGAUUUGGUAUUUCAAAACUUCAUGAAUGAGAUAUAAGGGAACUUAUAGUUUCCCUUUUGCACCACUAUAAUAUUUACUUCAAUAAAAUAUACAAAAGAGUUGAAUUACAAAA